AUUUUUAAUAAAAAUUGAUCCGAUCCAUCGGAAAAAAUUAUAUAAUAACAACAAAAAAUAUUUUAUAUAUAUAAAUAAAAUGAUCAAAUAUAUAAAAAAACUAUCGAUAAUAUAUACAAAUAAACUCACCAUGCGCAAGGGAUUACUAUUUUAAACUUAUCCUAGUAUUUAUUACUCCAUGAAACAAAAGGAGUACUAUUUUAAAAAAAAAAAAUCUUUCACGUUUUGGUUAACAUUUGCCAUGUGAAAGAGCACAAUGAUUCUUGGAAAGGAAAACAGCACUCAAUGAUUUGUACUCUGUGCCCAAAAUCAACGCAUCUUUUCUAUUGGCAAAGAAACAAAAAAAAAAAAAGAGAAAAAUAAACACACAAAUGUUCUGUGCUCCUUCCCACUCAUCCUCCAUUAUUUUGCUGAAAAUCCCAUUUUUUGUCAUUACCACAAAAGUCUCCAUCAAACCUUUCCUCAUGAAUCUGAAACCCUCCAAUCAAAAACUUUCUGUUUUGUCUUAAUUUUAUAAACUGACAAUGUCUGAUUCUCCAUUUUCAUCUUCCUCUGUUUUAACUCAGAACGUAUCAAAACCAGUUUCAGACAAGCUUCUUGACAAGUACAUUGACGUGUCUGAGUUUCAGUUCGAUUACCAGAAAAGUGGAAUCUGGUCUCCACCGUUUCAACGCACCACUUUUCUUACACCACAAGGCACAAUUCUUACAGGCAAAGAAAUGGCAGAGAAGCUUGACAAUGUUCUAGAACCUCCACGGAUCAAAUGAUUUUUCAGAUACAACAAACAAAAGAGAAAUCAUGUUUCAAACAGAAACAUUGCUCUGUUCCAAAGCUUCUUUGCCAGUGAUUCCAUCUUUCAGAUUCUUGAAAUACUCUUUGUAGUCUUUCUAUGGUGGAUGACUCUGAGGAUCUAUUGUGAAAGGUUCGCUGAACGGUAUUUUUUAACUUGAAAACAAACACACAAAAUAGCUCAAAUGAGAAAUUAAACAUCUUCUUGAUUUAAUCCUCAAUUUUUGUGAAAAUGAGUUUCUCAAAUUUUCUGUCUUUAACUUGUAAGUGAGAAUUAA